GCUUCAAUAUAGUGUAGUGGUUUGAAUGUUGGACUAUGACUCUGGAGACCAGGGUUCAAAUCCCUGCUCGGCCA